AGUAGAAUUGCUGGGUUAUAUGGUAACUUUAUCUUUAAUUUUUUGAAGAGCUGCUGAACUAUUUUUCUAGAAUGAUUGCAUCAUUUUAAAUCCUCAUGAGCAAU
rnacentral:pre_miRNA from 1 species